rnacentral:lncRNA from 1 species
GGCUUUUUUUUUAUUUGUGGCGUGGGGUGAGGAUUGCUUGCGAUCUAGGUUUUUAGUUCUUCUUGAGUUGUUCGUUCUUUGCUUCGUCAAGCUUCAUGUAACACCCCUAUACCCGACCCGAUCAUUGGGUCAAUACAUCGGGAUGCUAUAUUUGUUAUUAAAGCAACAACAAUCAAAUUCAUUUUGUUCUAAAUACUACUUAACUAAUUUGAUCAAUUUAAGCUUUUGAUAUGCCUUAG